rnacentral:rRNA from 1 species
GCUUACGGCCAUACCACUCUGAGCACGCCCGAUCUCGUCUGAUCUCGGAAGCUAAG